ACCCAGCUGACGAGCCCCUGGUAGGACGAAACGCGCGUCCUGGAU
rnacentral:hammerhead_ribozyme from 1 species